AGCUCCACCCUCCACCUUGCCUGGAACGACUAAGCAUCAGGGGUUACUUCGGCCGUGAGUUCCGCAAGUGGAUGCAGAGACAUCUUCAUUAACAUCAAUUCUUUUUUCAAAUUUGAGGCACCUGGAGCUAAUUAACUGCAAUUACUGUGAGCGGCUUCCACCUUGCGGGCUGCUGCCUCAUCUAGAACGUCUUGACGUUAGGGGUGCUGCAUCAGUCAUAGAUGUUGGACCUGAAUUUUUGGUCGGCGGCAGAGCUGCAGUAGAUUCUUCCAAGUAUGCAUUCCCCAAGCUAGAGACACUACAGUUCUCACAUAUGCGUAAUUGGCAGGAAUGGUAUUGGGAUAAAGGAACACAAGCAAUGCCAUGUCUAAAGGACCUGCACCUUUUGCUCUGCCCAAGUUGAUGUCUCUUCCCAAGGGUCUCCUGCUCCACGCAACCUCCCUCACAACAUUGACGAUCUGUGAUGCGAACAGACUAACGACAAUUGAUAACAUCCGUUCGCUCAAAGAAUUGAAUAUAACGGCCAAUCCUAACCUGGAGAAAGUUUCAGACCUCCCUAUGCUCACAACUCUCGAUGUUGUGUACUGCCCAAAAUUGCAAGCGGUGGAGAAUCUUCAAUCCUUGAAAAAUGAUACAUCUGAUCGAUUACGACAUGAAAUCUCUCCCGUCAUACUUACUGAAAGGAGUACAUACAACUCAUCUGGAGGACCUGGAGAUCCACUGCAAUAUGGGAUUGAUGAGAAAAAUUUGCCGAAAGGCCAACCCAGAGUGGCAAAUAAUCCAAGGCAUCCAGCAGGUGCAUGUAUACUCACAGAAUAGAUCGGUGCAUGUUGUCUAUAACAAGUUCCCCUACAGUUUCACUACAAAUUUUGAAUAACACCACCGCCAGCAGCAGCGGCAGUUCUGAUAUGCCCUCAAGUAGCAGCGGCACUGCUCUCUAAUCUGUGCCUCCUCUGCACUCCCUUUCAACCAUGGUUUCUGUUCUUUCCAGCUACUGGGGCGUUCCCUUUUUUGUCUUGGGCUUCUGCUUAGGUAUGGUGACAAUCAGUGUCUUCAUGUUGUUAAGAGUCCCCCAUUGCUGAAUAAAUAUCUGCUUAUGGAGGAUUUUGGCUUUAAGUUCCGGGCUGUACAGGUAUUAGAUUAUAUAUUGAUUGCUAGGCCUGAGUGCAUGUUGGAAAAGGAUAUUGGGAAAAAAGUAGAAAGCUCACUAUCUUCUUGUGCUGAUUCUCGACUAAAGAUGCAAGCAUUACAGAACCUGUAUGAAUCUUCUGGAUGCGGAAAGCCAGCUGGGUGUGGACUCUAUCAAUAAGAUGCAAGUAAAUAUCCAGAAGAUGCUACAAACAGAGUGCCUGAGGCUGCUGGUGCAGGUCACACUAACAUCUGUGGGGGAAUUGUUCAAUUGUAUUGGAACAGUAUUUUGGAAAGAUGCUUGGAUGUGAGGGAACAAGUUCGUCCGUCAGCUCGUAA